rnacentral:rRNA from 1 species
UUAAGCGACUAAGCGUACACGGUGGAUGCCCUGGCAGUCAGAGGCGAUGAAGGACGUGCUAAUCUGCGAAAAGCGCCGGCGAGGUGAUAUGAACCUUUGACCCGGCGAUGUCCGAAUGGGGAAACCCAGUGUGUUCCGACACACUAUCGUUAACUGAAUACAUAGGUUAACGAGGCGAACCGGGGGAACUGAAACAUCUAAGUACCCCGAGGAAAAGAAAUCAACCGAGAUUCCCCCAGUAGCGGCGAGCGAACGGGGAGCAGCCCAGAGUCUGAAUCAGCUUGUGUGUUAGUGGAAGCGUCUGGAAAGUCGCACGGUACAGGGUGACAGUCCCGUACACGAAAGCACACAGGCUGUGAACUCGAAGAGUAGGGCGGGACACGUGGUAUCCUGUCUGAAUAUGGGGGGACCAUCCUCCAAGGCUAAAUACUCCUGACUGACCGAUAGUGAACCAGUACCGUGAGGGAAAGGCGAAAAGAACCCCGGCGAGGGGAGUGAAAAAGAACCUGAAACCGUGUACGUACAAGCAGUGGGAGCCUCUUUUAUGGGGUGACUGCGUACCUUUUGUAUAAUGGGUCAGCGACUUAUAUUCUGUAGCAAGGUUAACCGUAUAGGGGAGCCGAAGGGAAACCGAGUCUUAACUGGGCGUUAAGUUGCAGGGUAUAGACCCGAAACCCGGUGAUCUAGCCAUGGGCAGGUUGAAGGUUGGGUAACACUAACUGGAGGACCGAACCGACUAAUGUUGAAAAAUUAGCGGAUGACUUGUGGCUGGGGGUGAAAGGCCAAUCAAACCGGGAGAUAGCUGGUUCUCCCCGAAAGCUAUUUAGGUAGCGCCUCGUGAACUCAUCUUCGGGGGUAGAGCACUGUUUCGGCUAGGGGGCCAUCCCGGCUUACCAACCCGAUGCAAACUACGAAUACCGAAGAAUGUUAUCACGGGAGACACACGGCGGGUGCUAACGUCCGUCGUGAAGAGGGAAACAACCCAGACCGCCAGCUAAGGUCCCAAAGUCAUGGUUAAGUGGGAAACGAUGUGGGAAGGCACAGACAGCCAGGAUGUUGGCUUAGAAGCAGCCAUCAUUUAAAGAAAGCGUAAUAGCUCACUGGUCGAGUCGGCCUGCGCGGAAGAUGUAACGGGGCUAAACCAUGCACCGAAGCUGCGGCAGCGACACUAUGUGUUGUUGGGUAGGGGAGCGUUCUGUAAGCCGUUGAAGGUGUCCUGUGAGGGGUGCUGGAGGUAUCAGAAGUGCGAAUGCUGACAUAAGUAACGAUAAAGCGGGUGAAAAGCCCGCUCGCCGGAAGACCAAGGGUUCCUGUCCAACGUUAAUCGGGGCAGGGUGAGUCGACCCCUAAGGCGAGGCCGAAAGGCGUAGUCGAUGGGAAACAGGUUAAUAUUCCUGUACUUGGUGUUACUGCGAAGGGGGGACGGAGAAGGCUAUGUUAGCCGGGCGACGGUUGUCCCGGUUUAAGCAUGUAGGCGGAGGUUCCAGGUAAAUCCGGUUCCUUGUUAACGCUGAGGUGUGAUGACGAGGCACUACGGUGCUGAAGUAACAAAUGCCCUGCUUCCAGGAAAAGCCUCUAAGCAUCAGGUAACAUCAAAUCGUACCCCAAACCGACACAGGUGGUCAGGUAGAGAAUACCAAGGCGCUUGAGAGAACUCGGGUGAAGGAACUAGGCAAAAUGGUGCCGUAACUUCGGGAGAAGGCACGCUGAUAUGUAGGUGAAGCCCCUGCGGGUGGAGCUGAAAUCAGUCGAAGAUACCAGCUGGCUGCAACUGUUUAUUAAAAACACAGCACUGUGCAAACACGAAAGUGGACGUAUACGGUGUGACGCCUGCCCGGUGCCGGAAGGUUAAUUGAUGGGGUUAGCGGCAACGCGAAGCUCUUGAUCGAAGCCCCGGUAAACGGCGGCCGUAACUAUAACGGUCCUAAGGUAGCGAAAUUCCUUGUCGGGUAAGUUCCGACCUGCACGAAUGGCGUAAUGAUGGCCAGGCUGUCUCCACCCGAGACUCAGUGAAAUUGAACUCGCUGUGAAGAUGCAGUGUACCCGCGGCAAGACGGAAAGACCCCGUGAACCUUUACUAUAGCUUGACACUGAACACUGGUCCUUGAUGUGUAGGAUAGGUGGGAGGCUUUGAAGCGUGGACGCCAGUCUGCGUGGAGCCAACCUUGAAAUACCACCCUUUAAUGGCUGGUGUUCUAACGUAGACCCGUGAUCCGGGUUGCGGACAGUGUCUGGUGGGUAGUUUGACUGGGGCGGUCUCCUCCCAAAGAGUAACGGAGGAGCACGAAGGUUAGCUAAUCCUGGUCGGACAUCAGGAGGUUAGUGCAAUGGCAUAAGCUAGCUUGACUGCGAGAGUGACGGCUCGAGCAGGUGCGAAAGCAGGUCAUAGUGAUCCGGUGGUUCUGAAUGGAAGGGCCAUCGCUCAACGGAUAAAAGGUACUCCGGGGAUAACAGGCUGAUACCGCCCAAGAGUUCAUAUCGACGGCGGUGUUUGGCACCUCGAUGUCGGCUCAUCACAUCCUGGGGCUGAAGUAGGUCCCAAGGGUAUGGCUGUUCGCCAUUUAAAGUGGUACGCGAGCUGGGUUUAGAACGUCGUGAGACAGUUCGGUCCCUAUCUGCCGUGGGCGCUGGAGAAUUGAGGGGGGCUGCUCCUAGUACGAGAGGACCGGAGUGGACGCAUCACUGGUGUUCGGGUUGUCAUGCCAAUGGCACUGCCCGGUAGCUAAAUGCGGAAGAGAUAAGUGCUGAAAGCAUCUAAGCACGAAACUUGCCCCGAGAUGAGUUCUCCCUGAGACUUUAAGUCUCCUGAAGGAACGUUGAAGACUACGACGUUGAUAGGUCGGGUGUGUAAGCGCAGCGAUGCGUUGAGCUAACCGAUACUAAUGAACCGUGAGGCUUAACCUU